GACGAACGCUGGCGGCGUGCUUAACACAUGCAAGUCGAACGGAAAGGCCCUGCUUUUGUGGGGUGCUCGAGUGGCGAACGGGUGAGUAACACGUGAGUAACCUGCCCUUGACUUUGGGAUAACUUCAGGAAACUGGGGCUAAUACCGGAUAGGAGCUCCUGCUGCAUGGUGGGGGUUGGAAAGUUUCGGCGGUUGGGGAUGGACUCGCGGCUUGGCGGCUGGUUGGUGGGGUAGUGGCUUACCACGGCUUCGGCGGGUAGCCGGGCUGGGAGGGUGACCGGCCAGAUUGGGACUGAGAUGCGGCCCAGACUCCUACGGGAGGCAGCAGUGGGGAAUAUUGCACAAUGGGCGGAAGCCUGAUGCAGCAACGCCGCGUGCGGGAUGACGGCCUUCGGGUUGUAAACCGCUUUCGCCUGUGACGAAGCGUGAGUGACGGUAAUGGGUAAAGAAGCACCGGCUAACUACGUG
rnacentral:rRNA from 1 species